GCUUUCAUUCUUGAACAAGUUCGUGAUCUUCUUUUGUUUCAAAUUUCAUCAUUCAAUACUUUAAUCAUUAAGCUCUAGGGUUGUAAAUGAGCCAAGCCACUUGUGAGCUGCUCAAGGCUUGGCUCGAUAAAAACUCGACGCUACUCAAGAUUAAUUUUUAGGCUUAUAUAAGAAACAAGCUCAAGUUCAAGCUCACUAACACUUGACUUGUUAAGGCUCACAAGCCAACUUAUUAUAUGGGAUAGCUUGUUGAACAAGCUCGUGAGUUAGCUCGUUUAACAUACUAGUAAGUUGGUUUGUUAAAUAAGCAGAUGAGCA
rnacentral:misc_RNA from 1 species